rnacentral:rRNA from 1 species
GUAGAAGGUGGGGCGAGGAGCGGCGGUAAUACGUGGGGAGCAAGCGUGGUGGCGGUGUAUUGGGGUGAAAGGGGACUUGGGGGGUCGGUCGCGUCGGAGGUGAAAACCCAGGGCUCAACCCUGGGCCUUCAUUCGAUACGGGCAGACUAGAAUUCGGUAGGGGAGUCUGGAAUGCCUGGUGUAGCGGUGAAAUGCGCAGAUAUCAGGAGGAACACCGGUGGCGAAGGCGGGACUCUGGGCCGAUAUUGACGCUGAGGAGCGAAAGCGUGGGGAGCGAACAGGAUUAGAUACCCAGUAGUC